GACGAACGCUGGCGGCGUGCUUAACACAUGCCAGUCGAACGGAAAGGCCCUGCUUUUGUGGGGUGCUCGAGUGGCGAACGGGUGAGUAACACGUGAGUAACCUGCCCUUGACUUUGGGAUAACUUCAGGAAACUGGGGCUAAUACCGGAUAGGAGCUCCUGCUGCAUGGUGGGGGUUGGAAAGUUUCGGCGGUUGGGGAUGGACUCGCGGCUUAUCAGCUUGUUGGUGGGGUAGUGGCUUACCAAGGCUUUGACGGGUAGCCGGCCUGAGAGGGUGACCGGCCACAUGGGGACGGAGAUACGGCCCAGACCCCUACGGGGGGAAGGAGGGGGGAAUUUUGCAAAAGGGGGGGAAGCCUGAUGAAGCAACCCCGGUGGGGGGAGGACGGCCUUGGGGUUGUAAACCGCUUUCGCCGGGGAUGAAGGGGGGGGGGCGGUAAGGGGAAAAGAAGCCCCGGUAAACUACGU
rnacentral:rRNA from 1 species